rnacentral:lncRNA from 1 species
ACUAUGGGAACAAUGCUAAAGUUUUGAUCACCUCCUUCAUCCCGCAAUAACUUUUUGACCAAUGCCUCUUUCUCCGCCUGCCGUCCAACAAUACUAGAUUGCAUGGACCAUAGAGGUUUGCAAUCUUCUAUUUAUAUCUUUUGGCCUAGUUUCCUCUUUCACACUCAAACCAAGACUAGUUUUCUCCUCAACUAGAUCUUGUAAUUUAGCCGUAAUGUCAUCUAACUUGUCAUGGGUCCGUGAGUAAUUUAUGCAGCAAAGUGGGACUGGGAUUAGCUUUCUUACCUUGCUGGUGAUGGGUUCUGACUUGUGGGUGAACUCACGAUGCAUAGCUUCGGUUGCCAAAUCAUCGAGUACGUCAUCUAUGUCAUAAGCCAGAUCAUCAGCAAGCACACCUUGUAUCUGGUUUAACAAUCUAUGCCAUUUCUUCAUCUCAGCAUCAAUUCCCUUGUAGCUAGCAAUGCUUUUCAAAGUGGCAGAGGCCAGCUUCUCAAAGAGCACAGAGAGGAAGGCAGAAAGCACGAUUUCAGCCAUUGAUUAAUUGUGAAGAGGUCGUAGAGGUGUAGAUGAAAGGGGUGCUUUUUUUGUGAAGCGCUGU